CGCUGUGGUAGCGCAGAAAACCAAAUUACAUACAGCAGGUCCAGACCUAGUACUGAAGGGAAAUUCAAAUUGAGCGGAAGUACUUAGGCGGGCGGAGCCAGGCUACUGUUGGCCUUGAUGGGGAGGAAGAGGGUGAGGAAGAAGAGGAGGGUGCGCCUGAGUAUGAUUCAGCUGCUUCCACUUCAAACCUCUUCUCGCACUAUCAUCCUCUCACCCCGCCGGAGAUCACAGAGCAGGCCAUCUCUUUCCGCUUGAAAGGCGAGAACGACGAAGACCUCUUGUCGAAUGACCUUCCCCCGCCCCACGCCCUGAGGCACGACAUGGUACUGCAGCAGUUCACCGACAUCAUGCUGGCAGACAUGCAGCAGAUCCAGGACCCCCUGCUGCUGAUGAAGCUCAGACGAGAUGUCACCGACCUGGUGUUCAAAGCUGUUGAAGAAGAUGCCAAGAGAAGUCAGAUCGGGAACAGAAAAGAGCUUUAUUGCCAGAUGCUUCCUCGCUUCCAGAUGUCCAGUGAGCCCUGUAGCAGCGGGGCCGGCCCGAGCUCAUAUAUAAAGAACUCUCGGAAGCAAAGGAGGGCCAGUAAGAGUCGGAGGAUGCCAGCCGGGGGGGGAGGAGGAACGGGAGACGAGUGGAGGGCGAGCAUGUGCGAGUUAAAUAGCGCUGCCACCCUUCAGACACACCCGGUUAAGACAGAGACUGAGCCGCUAGAGGAGAUGGAGUUACCGGUGUAUUUCUCCCCCAUCAACUUGGAGGGAACCAACGAAGGUUGAUCAAUUAAAUCAGUUUUUUUUAAUGGUUUGGAAAGAAAAACCUUUAGAAAACAUUUAGGGGUAAAUUAUUUUUGUAGGGCUACCUGCCCAAUAAAGUUUUCCUUCAAUGGUUGCUUUGAACUUAAUUUGUUAAUUUUUUUCUCAUGG
ensembl:lncRNA